CACCGGCGCCACAAGUGGUCAUCACGAUUAUUGGGCCUAAAGCGUCCGUAGCUGGUGCGGUGCAUCCCUUGUGAAAUUGUUCGGCUUAACCGAACAGCGUGCAGGGGACACGGCCGCGCUCGAGACCGGGAGGGGUUAGAAGUAUUCCAUGGGGACCGGUAAAAUGGGAUAAUCCAUGGAGGACUACCGAUGGCAAAGGCAUCUAACCAGAACGGAUCUGACAGUGAGGGACGAAAGCCAGGGGAGCGAACCGG
rnacentral:rRNA from 1 species